UCUCAGCAACUUUGCGGAUGACACUAAACUGGGAGGAGUGGUAGAUACACCAGAAGGUAGGGAUAUGAUACAGAGGCACCUAGACAAAUUGGAGACUUGGGCCAAAAGAAAUCUGAUGAGGUUCAACAAGGACAAGUGCAGAGCCCUGCACUUAGGAUGGAAGAAUCCCAUGCACUGCUACAGACUAGGGACCCAGUCACUAAG